rnacentral:rRNA from 1 species
CUACGGGGGAUGCAAGCGUUAUUCGGAAUCAUUGGGCGUAAAGGGCACGCAGGCGGUUCUGUCAGUCAGAUGUGAAAGCCCGGGGCUUAACCCCGGACGUGCAUUUGAAACAGCAGGACUUGAGUAUGGUAGAGGAAAGCGGAAUUCCUGGUGUGGAGGUGAAAUUCGUAGAUAUCAGGAGGAACACCGGUGGCGAAGGCGGCUUUCUGGACCAAAACUGACGCUGAGGUGCGAAGGCGUGGGUAGCGAACAGGAUUAGAUACCCGGGUAGUCC